GCGGACGUGGCGGAACUGGUAGACGCACAGGACUUAAAAUCCUGGGAGUGAUGAACUCGUGUGGGUUCGAGUCCCACCGUCCGCA
rnacentral:tRNA from 1 species